AAUAUUGCACAAUGGGCGCAAGCCUGAUGCAGCCAUGCCGCGUGUAUGAAGAAGGCCUUCGGGUUGUAAAGUACUUUCAGCGGGGAGGAAGGGAGUAAAGUUAAUACCUUUGCUCAUUGACGUUACCCGCAGAAGAAGCACCGGCUAACUCCGUGCCAGCAGCCGCGGUAAUACGGAGGGUGCAAGCGUUAAUCGGAAUUACUGGGCGUAAAGCGCACGCAGGCGGUUUGUUAAGUCAGAUGUGAAAUCCCCGGGCUCAACCUGGGAACUGCAUCUGAUACUGGCAAGCUUGAGUCUCGUAGAGGGGGGUAGAAUUCCAGGUGUAGCGGUGAAAUGCGUAGAGAUCUGGAGGAAUACCGGUGGCGAAGGCGGCCCCCUGGACGAAGACUGACGCUCAGGUGCGAAAGCGUGGGGAGCAA
rnacentral:rRNA from 1 species